rnacentral:misc_RNA from 1 species
AAAGUGCGAUAAGCACUGUGAACUGCAGAAUUCAGCGAAUCAGCAGAUUUCUCAACGCAACAGGUGCCAGAUAGACUUGUCUGUUUGGCAGGCCUCUUUCAACGUUGUUACAAUUGCUAAGAAUUCUUUUUGCUCGUUUCAAUGGUUUCACACGAGACAAUUGAAAAUGAGAGAAAAGGAUGACUUGGUAUUUAUGCUUUCUUAAUUGAAAGUGUGUAGUCCGCUACUUCGAUACUGGCGGAUCUAGUGAAACUUUGCAUUAUUUAGAUUACUAAACCUAAUGCGACGAGUAUUAAAUAACAUCAACUUGAAAUAGGUCAGACUACCCGCUGAACUUAA